UUAUUCUGAUUACACCAUCGAGCUGACCCGUAUAGAAACUAACCCCGCAGAACAACCGAACCGAACUGCACCGAACACAAAAAAAACCCCACACCCCACCUUAUCCUCCCACUCUCCCCACGACCCCAGCCAGCCACCUCUCUCCCCGCGCCAGCCCACCUCCCUCCGCACCUUCUCCGAUGCGACGCGCCCCUGCCCUCCCCACCUUCUCCGGCGACGCCGCCCACCACCACCUCCCUCCCCGCGCCGCGCCCCACCUCCCUGCCCACCUUCUAUGGCGUGGCGCGCCCCUACCGCCUCCCUCCCCCGUCCCCAUCCCGGAUCCCUCCUCUCACGCCGCCUCUGGAUGCGAGCCACCGCCACCAAUGGCCAACGCCCCCUUCGGCAAUAGGGCCAGCCCUACCGCCGCCAAACCCCAUGGCCUCGCCGCCCUCACCCCCAGGGCCGACCACGCCCCCGCCAAGCAACCACCGGAUCCAGGGGGAUCCGGUUCCACCUCCCUCGUCUGCCCCCUGCCCCCUGGGUAGCUACCCCUGAUGAGCAGGACAACGGCCGGCGUCGGCGGCCCCAACCCCGCCCCACCCAGCCGCGAAUACGACCCCGCCCCGUGACGCCGACCUCGACGGCCCCGGCCUCCCGCGCCGCCCUGCGACGGCCAGCCUCCAAGGCCCCGGCCCCUGCGCCGCCCGGCCCCGGCCCUGGCCGCUGACGUCCGCCGCCCUCCCUGAUCCCAUCCGACAAGUUCCGCUGCCUCCCCUCCCCUCCGACGAGCUCUCCUGUGUCCCCUCCCCUCAUGUGAGCUGCGUGGAGAGGAAAACAUCAAAAAUGAGAAAAAAGUGUGUUGCGCUCCUGAUGCAAUUUGACAGCUCACAAGAGCAGUACACAACACCAGCAUCAUGUUUGAGGAAAGUUCUUUCUUGUUGCAGAUUAUGGAUGAGCAUCUGCCAUGCGGUUUCAGUGCGGAUGAGGUUUCGGAGUGGUCCACUAAUUUUUUGCUUGCAGUGUAGUGUGGUGAAAUUAUACUCGUCCUCCCCCUUCAUCCUCACCACUUUAUACUUAGUCAUGCAGUGCACUCCUAAAAGUGGUGCAGUACUCGCAAAAUUGUCGUUAGUUUUAUACUUAGUCAUGCAGUGCACUAGCAAAAAGUGGUGCUGUACUCGCAAAAUUAGUUUGUUUCUCCUCACCGACGACAAUGGUGCAGCGCUUUAGUCCAAAACAGUGGGAGCACACAACCAACGUUUACUCUAGAAAGCAGUACACUUAGGUACUGUGAGCAGUUGUGCAAAACAAAAAAGGAAUCGAUUGUUUGUAUUUUGGUUUUGAGACCUGUUGAGUAAGCUCCGGCAACCUAUUUAUCACUAAUGUUAAAAGAUA